GUAGGUAGAGGUUGCGAUAUUUAAUAGUAUAUUUGCGGAGGUAAGCACAAGGAUGUAAAUAGAAAGGAAGUUUCGCCGAAAUAUAUAGCUAAUGCUUUGAGGUUAUAUUAUUGGGGUUAUAUAUAAUAUAUAUAACACUGUCACAUUUUGUGAAGAGCUAUC
rnacentral:ncRNA from 1 species